UACGAAGGGGGCUAGCGUUGCUCGGAAUCACUGGGCGUAAAGGGCGCGUAGGCGGCCAUUCAAGUCGGGGGUGAAAGCCCAGGGCUCAACCCUGGAAUUGCCUUCGAUACUGUUUGGCUAGAGACCGGAAGAGGUAAGUGGAACUGCGAGUGUAGAGGUGAAAUUCGUAGAUAUCAGGAGGAACACCUAUUGCGAAGGCAGCUCGCUGGGACGUAACUGACGCUGAGACGCGAAAGCGUGGGGAGCAAACAGG
rnacentral:rRNA from 1 species